AUUCGGCUUACGUAAUAUCCCUCUUUGGGCAUAUUCUAAGCAACUAUAGUUAUAAGAUAUUGAAUUGCACCCUAUUUAUAUAUUAUAGCACGUAAUUACUCUAUACAUAUUUUUAAAUAUUCCUUUCCCGUGUCGUUCCCAUCACAUAAGGUACACUACACAAUCAUUAAGAAACGCCAUGAAUCGAUUUGACUUAGCCUUAAUCACAUGCCAGUGCAAUUACAUUGCUGGUAUCAAUAAAAAUAAACUCGUUUUACGCUUAUUAAUAGUAACAUUUAAUGCUAUUUGUUGAUUGUGUUGAGUCUAAAUACUCUUUUACAUGAGCAAGCUGUUCUGUACUGGAUUGCUUCUACAUAUUCGGGAUGAUUUAAGCGAAAUAAAUACGAAUUUAUGGGCCUUAAAUACAUUAGAAAUGGGGACUUACAUGAAAUAAACCAAGAACGCUAGGCAUAAUUUUUUUGGAUUGUUUAGAAAAUUAAAAUUUUUCAAGGGAAAAUGCAGACGGUAUACCGCAGAUAGUUUUUGUAAAUCGAUGAGCAAAACAUCGUAACAUUAUGCACAACUUAUGCAAAAAUUAAAAGACAAUUUCGAAAUAGGGGAUCCCCAAAACCGCAAACCCUGCGACUAAUAGUUAAGAUUGCCUUUUGCCAAAUCCGCCAUUUUGCUUUCGAUCGUUUCGUUAAUGAAAAUUUCUCGCUGUGCUUAGACAACGCUCUCGCACGCCAAUGCAAUCGAGCAGCUAGGCUUUUGCUGUCGGCGAGAGAGGGACGGAGCGAGUAUCUGGGCGAGUGUGUGUACGAGGUUUGCUUGCUAUGUUUUUCCGAACACAGCGGAGCAACGACAACAAAAGCAGACAGAGCGGGCCAAAAAAUGUUAGAUGCCGACCGCCCUCCGCAGGCCCCGUUUCUUCGAUUGUGUGGCGUUAACCAUUACAUGCAAACUCACACCUACAGGCGAUGCCGGCAGAGCCGUCGGCAGAGGCCGCGGCAAGCGCGCAUUCAUUCAUACUUGUUGCUCUGCGCUCAUGUAUCUGUAUCGGUGUGAACUCCCCGCUAAUGUGUUGGUGUGUCGGUGUAUUGGUAUGUCGUUGAUUGCGCCGCAAACUAAAGUUUCGUGAGGCAUUUGUUUCAGUACGUCACCGACAGUGCCAUCGAAAAGAAGGAGGAGGCGGUGAGCCGGACUCAGCACUUGGGAAUUAUAGUGUGUAGAGUGUUGAGUAUGGAGUAGGACUGUCGCUGGCAUCUGGUCACACUGUUAAGGGGGUCUUGUCAAGUAACGUGCCGGGAUUCUUUCAAUUCUCGAAUCUUUAAGACUCAAUAGUGUCUUCGAACAAGUGUAGUGUGCCUAACGUUUAAAUUGCCCAAAAAAAUUUGCAACUUUUUUACGACGCAGUUGCAAAGAAAACAAAGCAAGCCAGCCAAGAGCAACUUAAACGACGUAUUUAACAAUACAAAAAAUCGAAAAAACCUAAAGCGAGAGAGGCGAAACUAGGGGAACACAACAACAAACGCGACAACAACAAGAAUUAAAAACAAACUCGCUCGCGACUUUUGAGCCUCGCAACUGAAUAAUUAAAAUUAGAAGCGGAAAAGUAAAUACAAAAAAAACAAUAAAUAAAUUUCAAAUAAAGAACCCGAAACGCUUAUACACAUACGUACGUAUAUAAGUAUUUGGAAAGAACAAAAAAUGGCGCACAAAGAAACUGUGAACUUAUACAAUCAAAAAAUUUUUAUUUGAUUGCAUGUCCAUAUAUAUGUAUGUGUACAUGUGAACUUUGUACCAGUGACAAUGAGACGACAGACGCAGAUGAUGAUUAAGGCAGCGAUGAUGAAUGAAACUGUGCCCUACGCUGAUGUACGACCGAUGUACUAUCAAUGAAAGGGCCUAGAAGAUACCGAGAUAUAAGAUAAAUCAAAACAAACACACCAUAUAACAGAGUUGUGCGGUGGGAGUGGAUAAGCUCUAUAUACACACUCUUUUGGCGGCGUGCAUUGAACUAAUUUGUCGUUGUUGCUCUUUCUGUUUUUUGUACGCGACUAGUUUUCCUCGUUUCGUUUCUUUUGCCUUUUUAUAAUACCCUCUGUGUAUUUAUUUAAAGCGCAAAUGUUUUAGAUACGACAUAUAGCCAGGGGGAGGGCGGCGAUGGGGGCUACGAGGGGGCGGGGACCAGACCAGAGCUAGCCAGUCAGACCGCUGUCGACAAAUAAAACAACAAAGUAAACUACAGAAACAACUAAAAGGCAAACUUGCCUAUCUGCCUAGCCUUAUAUUGAUGUUGUUGGUGUGUUGUUGUAGCUGCUCUUGUUGUUGCUGAAUUUCAGUGCGUGUGCUCAGCAUUUAACUAAACUGGCACACACGCACACCAACACCAGAGAACGGAAAACGAAAAAAAAUUAAAACACACCAACAGCUACACCAACACUCAACAACAGCCACACAAAGAGGCACACCAACACUAUCACACUGAGUUGUCAGGGCUGGCAGUCUAGUGCUUAUAUAAUCACCGUCUAAUGGGCUUUGUUUGUAAGUAUUGAAUGCAAUUUGUUUAAAAAUGUUUUAUAUCAUUUUACGUGUGUUAAAAUGUGCAGCGCCCUUGUGUGCAUGCAAUGCAACUCGAACAGCUGUUUGCCAUAACACAAAACAGCUGUUCCACUGCAAGUCCUAAAAAAGAAAAAAUAAGUAAAGAACAACAAAAAGAGCGACUGCGACGCCGGCUGCGCAGCCAUGUGUCCUUACAGCAGUCAUUGUGAGAGACUUUCUUGCGCACCAAAAAAUAUCAAGUAUACGCAACCGACACCGCAAUCGGGAGAGCGAGCGAGCAACCGAGUGCUCUCUCCGCGCGGCGUUGCCAGAUUGUCAUUUACUGUUAUUCAAGUGAAUCCAUGUACAGGCAAACUUCGCAAAGGGGAACCACAGUUGUACCGGUAAAUUAAUUAAAACUAUUUAUUAACGUUAAAAUAUCUCUUUAUGGUUAUACUUAAAAUUAAUAUUUCGUUUCGUAUAAAUUACAAACACUAAACAGUGCUCCAAAUAAUAUAAUUCUUUCGAAUUGAGCUUGAUCUAACUGAACUUGUUAAUAAUAUAUUAAUAUUGUAGUGUGAGCACUAAAACGGUGUUGCAUACUUUUGAAAACGUUUUAUCCCGGCAAGCCUAUAUCCCAGGCAAUUUUUGUAAAAUUAUUGAGUUUAAAAUAUUUAUUUUGUACUAAAUUUUUCAAAUUUCGUUCAGAAGGGCAAAUGGUUUUCAAUUACAGAAGUUGAAUGCAACCCAGUUAGCCUAGAUCGAGCGUAUUUGAAUGAAAUCACUUAAUUCGAUAAUUGAACAUUGUUACGAGUAUUAUUAAUAUUUUUUGUGCGCCUCUGGUAAUUUGAAACCCAUUAGGGUUGCCAAAGCGCCGCGGUAAUUUGGUGAGCAGCAAAACUAGUGCGCAAAAUGAGUUUGCAGCCCCAAUGCGUAUUGUCCGUACUAUAUAGUACGUAAUAAACAGCCAAGGCGCAAUAUGCGCAGCUUCAAUACAGAGCCGACAGAUACGGAUACAGAUGGGCACACACUAAAUAGUUUUUCGGAAGGGGUUUUCGCUGUUUUCGGGCUAUCGGGGGCCGAGGCCUACCCAGUUCUGAAUGGUUGCUGGUGUUAUUGUUGUACUUGGAGGCGCCUUCUUCGAGCCUCAAGUUCGCAUCGAGGGAAUGAACUGACAAACGAGUCGCCAUGUGUAUCUGUGUUUAUAGUUAUUGUUGUAUGGUAGUUUUUUCUGCUUGUUGUAGUAGUUUCUGUCUUUCUAUUAUAUUUAAAUGCGCAAUUAAGAUUGGCACUGCCCGUGGCAGCGCAACAACAACACGAACCACAAGAAAACAACAGCAACAGAAGCGGUAACAAGAUCAAAGUAUUCACAAAAUUGAACCAGUUUGAGUUUUACGCAUUUAUCAUUCGUCGUCCGAAUCUGAUCAAAAUCGCACAACCUAAAUCCGCGAACAGCAGAUCUUUGGCUGCAGAUAAAAAACACGAGCCAAGAAUUAAAAUAAUUUCGUUUUCUGGGGGUAAAAUUAAGUUAAACACUUAACCACAUGCUCCAUGUUCCAUAUUCGUGAUUGAUCGAUCCGAUUUGACACGAAUAUUUUGCUUAAUUUGUGGGAACCAAAACAUAAUGCCAAGACAUUAAGGGUUUAACUACAAAUUGGUAAGGCAGGAAUGUUUGUCAAGCCUCCAAUUAGCGUGUUGCUUUCUCUUCAAAUGAUAAUGUCACAUUGAGGAAAAUAGGUUUAGUCAGAAAACCACAAUAUAUUUCGAUUUCAAUUAUUUUUUAUCGAAUUUUAUUGCAGAUUUUUAAAGUCCAAUAUUUUGUAUAAUGAUCUCUAAGACAUCAAGUAUACGCCAACAUACUGAGUCAGCUAAGAGCUUUGAAACAAAAUAUAACGUAUACGUCUGGUAAAAAUUAAAUUUCCCAGCUUAAAACUAUAAAACUUCUCUUGAGCUGCAGUAAACUUAAAUGUUCCCAAAUACUUAUUUUAAAGACACCCUCUAUCCUAGAUGCUCUAUGACAUUUUAUGGCUUUUAAUUGACCAGACGCUGUCGCACAUGUCCAACGAUAAUGAUCCGUUUAGUUAUUUUCGUAUAGACAGCGAUUUAUUUAUAAAUGCCGCGACGGAUCUCUCCUUCUGCCAGCUAUAUUCUGGUGGCUAUAUCUGCCACAGUGUCUGCCAUAAUUAGGCGCACAGUUGGCGCAAUUAAGGCGCUGGCCAAAGUCUUUUACAAGCGAACGUCAUCGAGCAGCAUAAAUAAUCGCAAUCCAAAUACGCGGCCAAACAAAUAUUAACAAGAUCUGAGAUCUGAGAGGAAAUCGCGGCACUGCCUGGAAAUCGUUUAGCUUCUUCGUACUUUUUCUUUUUUUUUUGUUUGGCUCUGACGUAAAAUGGCCCGAGUCAAUUUCGAUUUCAUUCAGCUCUCGAUGACGUACACAUUGGCCUCUCAACGACCACCGCCCACCACCCACCGCACACCGCCCCUUUACAUUGCCGCAGCAGACAACCUUGUAAAGUUUUUGUGCGUCAUUUGCCGCUGCUAUUUUUUCAGCAGCGAUUUCCACGGCUCUUUCCCUUCUGGGCAGCAGUUGUUUUGCAAUUUUAUCGCCGCCGCAUCUCCAAUAAUAAUAUCAACUCGUAAAAGUCCAGGCCCUGCACAAAUUACACAGAUAUAUGUACAUAAGUUCGUAAGAUUCCCUGCGUGCGUCAUAGUUUUCUGUAAUUCUCGAUCUCGUUACUGCCUGGCCAUUUCCAUAUCUACUUGCGGAGGAGCUAUAUGUACAUAUAUAUUCCUAAUCUGUCGGCGGUCGUUGAUCGCACUCAUCGAGUUUCCCCGAAAGUGACUAAGUGCAUGGCUACUUUCUCGGCUAUUCUGGGCUUAUUUGCAUAUGGACUUGGAGCGGCUCAUGGACUGGUUCAUAGGUCGCCUGUGACUCAAUCUGCAAAUGUGUAAAUCGGAUUUCCUAUUCUGGGAACUAUCGUUGAUCGUUGCCGUUUCCUAAUCUCUAUAAAUACCAAGGGUCGAUAGAAUUUCAGAGAAUUCUAAGUGAAUCAGCGGACUUAGUAAGUAGUUUUUGCCCAGUUGCGACGAGUUUUUAAAUACUUUACCAAGCGCCACCAUAUGUCUGUUUUUUAGUAAUAAUAAGAUAUUCACAAAGUAACUACAUGAAUGUAUUAUGUAUGUUGGAGUGAAGCAGACCCUAACUAGUGCAGACUCAGGACAAAUCAGGCAAAUGCGAGGGAUUCGAGUGGCUGACUGGCUGGGUAUCAGAACCGACCACAUCGCCUUGGGUAUUCGUAUUCAGAUACAUGUGCCCCCCGUCCAUGUGCCAUAUCAAAUCCUAUAUAAUCCGAACAAGAGGCUGGGAAUCAAGCGUUCAUUCAAGCGACUUAUUUAGACACUCGCUCGCAUUUGGACUUGAAUGAGUUAGUUGUGUUGUUUGUUGUUGCUCGGUUUACUUCCGCUGCUACUAUAAUGGGUGUACGCGAGUGUGCACGUGUGUGGGUGUGUGGGUGUCGUGAGCGUAUAUGUGCGGAUCUGAGUGUGGGUGCAUGUGUGUAUUAUGUUUUUGUCGCUGCCUGCGAUUUUCAUUCAUUAAAUGCAAGCGCAGCACACACACACACACACAUGCGCCGAUUGCGACGGCACGCACACACGAAUACGUAUUCGAUUCAUUCAUAAAUUCAUGCAGCAGCAGCAGCAGCAACAAACGCCGCCCCCUCCUCCCACGCCCCCACUGCGGCCUCUGCCACUGGCUCUGCCUGCGUCGGCGUCUCGUAUCAUCGCUCCAACAACAAAAGCGGCAGCACUAUGGCAGCAGCAACCUCAAAUGCGCUCUUGCUGCUGCUGCCGAUGCACUGAAAGAAACGGAGUGAAAUAUCCCCUCGCUGGAAAUAAUAGUUUUUGCUGGUUAGUGUGAACUUUUGGCUACAGAACUUUUGUAAGUUAUUGUUUAAAGAAAAAUUGAUCACUUGCUAGAAAAAUAAUGUAGCCUACUUACCAGCUUUCAAAGCUAUAGAGAUUUAAAAAAUAUUUAUUUAUUCAAGCCCGAUUUCUUACUGUGUCCCCUUGGUUUAUCUAUGCCAAACAUCGCACCGUGGUUCCCGUUUCCAGUCUCCAUUUCCACAAUUUCCCCAUUUCCCCCUCCACCGCCAGCUGGCGGCUUCGUUGCAUUUUAUAGAUUCGUUCUAAAUUUCAAUGAAAUUUCAUUGAGCACGCAGAGCACGGCAGCAACAACACCAUCAACCAUCGCUGAUAACUUCGGAUCGGAUCCCUAUCUCUAUCGCUUGUCGUUGUUUGCUAUGGGGUCAGUCAUUCAAUAGGAUCGACCCGAGCAUAGCUUGCCCCAUCCAAGUUCCCUUAAUGUGCUGAUUUCGUUCAUUCACAAUAUACGAUUGUGUCCGCAAUUAUGGUAAUAAACUAAUAAAAACUCUAUUAAACGUACUUCCGGUACGCGAUUAUGCCAAUAACCUACAAAAAUAAAUGAGAACUAUAAAUAAAUGGUGUAUACGCUACAGUAUCGAUACAGUAUCAGUCGGAGUCAAGUCAUACUUGGCCAACCCUUGGCAUCUAGUUUGAGAUUGAUACUAUCCCACUAAUUUCGACCCUGUGACUACUAUUAUUUUGCCCACCACUGUGAUUAUGCACUGUGUACGGUUAUGAAUGAAUGAAGUUCACACACACUCGCACACUGGCUCUCACCCACACGCGCAGCUACCCUACCCACACAUACAACUCGUGUUUGCUUCGUCGGUGUGGUUUUGGUCACAUUAUUUCCGGCUGGCGGCUUUUGGCUGGGUUUUUAUUUAUAGCUGGGGCGUCGGAACUUCUUCUUCAUCAGCAGCGAAGUCUUCUGCCUACUUACGGCUCUUCACCGGCUGCUUCUUCUCUGCCUUUCGUCCCAACAUGUUGCACACUUAAAAAAAAUCUGACUGUCAUGCACUACAAAUUCCAAAAGCAUUUUAAAGUGAGAACUAUUUUACCGAAGGAAUACAAUGUGUAUACUUCCAAUUCAAAUCUUCGAAGAUUCGAAUUUUUUGUCCAAUUACUUCCAAUUUCCAAGUGACUUUUCUCUCUGUGUGCUUGUAUGUUGGCCACUCCAAAAAUGCAGUUGGCAGCACUUCCUCAUUUGGACGCACCGGAAGUGAGCGGAAAUGCUCGCACACUCGCAUUAGUCACUUUUGUUUUCACUUCUUGAGACACCCGCCCGCGCCAUGUGUCCCAUAUAUCCCCACAAAUGCACGCAUAUACAUACAUAUAUCCCCACUUUAGCUUCCGUUGAUAAAACCCAGUCCCGCGACCUCCCGUCCCGAUCCCACUGGCUGCUAUUUAUGGCGAAAGUGUUUGGUGGAGUUUGUUAUUGUUGGGCCCCCGAGUUCAAUAGUGCUUUGAACUCUAGCUGCCCCGUCCCCGUCCCGUCUCUCUCGCACCCCUCCUGCCGUCUCUUUCGUUUCGUGUGUGUCUGACUCUUUCUGGCUGGGAAUGCAUCGAAAAUAGAGCGGCAAAUUGUCUGGCUGCCUCUGCUUCUGCUGCCGCUGCUUUUGCUGCUCUUGCUGCUUUGGCUUUGGCUUUAGCUUUAGCUUCAGCUAUAGCCGUGGCGAAAAAGGGCGAAUGAAUGGGUCUCAGAUCAGGAAAGGCGGCGGCGGUGGCGGCGACGACGACGAUGGUGGGAGGGGCACUACUUCCGCCGCGAGGCUUACGCAAAAAGACGUUAAAUUUAUGAAUAUGAAUGAGCCUCCUCCACUCGCAGCGAUCGCCGCUCGUCCCCACGCUGCACUCACAUGGCAUGGAGGCACCGAAACUGGGCCAAAUGUCAUUAAUACAUCAGAUCCGGACAUGCGAGCGGGAAGCAAAUCAUGCGUUGACAGCGGGGACCACGCAAAUAGGGACGAAGGGGGGAAGUCUCGUAGCAUCUAGUAGGCCGGGCAGCAUUGGCCGGGGCGACGCCCACAUUUGGAGCGGAUUCCAAACUCCGACGACGACUGCUACUCCUACUUGGCCACAUCCACAUCCACAUCCGAUUGCAGCCAGUUUGUUGUUGGUUGGCCGAGGAAUGUGCUAUUAUUAUGCCAACCGAGCGAAGAGAGAUCGCUUGGCCACUCCACGAUUUUCUGCAUCCGCCUCGCGGGAAUGCGAAUGCCACAGAACGGGGUGGGGUGGGGUACAUGCUGUUUAGGGAGUUAACUAUAUAGUUAUAUAUUUAAAGAUUACUGUAAGACAUUGAAUGGUGCUCCAUACAGAUCACUGAUGUAUAUAACGCCUGGUCAGAACAAAAGUACGGCGCUGGGCCAGUGACACGGACUUGGGAAGAGACAGAGAUGCGGAUGCAACUAUCCAACUAGACUAUGGCCACAAAGGCGGGCGCUGGCCAGUGCAUUCAACUGGAAUUUGGGUCGGGUGGCGUGGCAAGAUGCAAGCGGCAAGACGCUCGAAUGCGCUUUCUUCCACAGCCACAGCCACAUCCACAUCCACUGCCAUUUCCAUAUCCACUCCUGCUCCGGUUCCUGCGCCUCCCCCCAAGUUCCCCCUUUCAUUAUCAUCGGGUUCAUUCAGGAGGGAAAUGGGGACUGGUGGGUGGGGCGGCGUCCGUCGGGCGGUUCGUUAGCGGGCCAAUUGUUGUCACUACUGCCUCUGUUUUUCUUUCCUUUUUUUUUUUUGCCUUUCAAUUGUGCGACUUUGUGGCGCUGCCCAACACUUGUAUGCUAAUGCAACAGCCUUCGCUUUCCCAGCACAGUGGGACCAGACACGCAGUCACCGAACAAAGCAUAUGAAAAUAUAGCUAUGUUUUUUGAUAUCCUUUAGGAUCGCUGUACAUCCGGCAGAUCGUCGUAGGAAUUCUUACUGACCGGACAUCAGCUUUUACCCAUGCGAGUACCAAUCCGACCCACUGUGCCUCCCCAUUGCCUCAAUUGCAGUUGCAGUUGAUGGCUCUCGAGUGUGCGUGUGCCCAUUUGCAGCGGCGUCAGCGUCAGCGGCUUAUCUCCUCCAACCUGGCGGCCACUGCACCACUGCACCACCGUGCAAAUGCAACUGCAACUGCGAGUGCAACUGACGAGCCACUGUUAAUUUUGCCAAGUUUUUUGCUGCCCAGUUUUUGCUGCUGUGCAAGUCUCUCAUGCAUAAAAUUUUACACGACAUAAUUUUUCAUGAAAUGGCUGGGAUCCUCCCGGUGCGGCGUCGUUGUCGACGUCUCUUUCCGACGUCUAACCAAGCCGAGUGGUACCAGUACUACUAUAUAGCCACCGGCUAUAUCCACAUCCACAACCACGUCCACGUCCAUCCCGUUGCCGUUGUUUUGGGCAGGUUCGGUGCACUUUUUGCCGGCUGACCGCGCUCACUCGAGUAGAAAUUAUGUGCAAUUUGUCUAGCCAGGGGUCUGGUAUCUAGUCGCUAGUCGCUAGACUCUAGACUCUACAGCAGUCUACAGUUCGAUUUCGAUUCCAUUUAACUCCGCCCCGUAUGGUUGCACAUAAAGGAAGUUCGGUGGUAAAGGGUUCGGUUUUACUAUUGUUUUUGGAUUGAAUUAUUUAUGUAAGUUCAAAAUGCAAUGGUAAACAUAACCACCACUCUGUUACUUGAUACAAUUGAUAUAAGGAGAUGUAUGUAUGAUUCGGUGCCUCUAGUUUCUCCCAGUGCAUUACUGCUUCUUAAUGAUCGGUGGGCUGUAUGCGCAUCACGUGCUUCCUAUUAGAUCGCGGGUAUUAUCAUUAGGUUCGGUGCGGUGUGCUUCGGUUCGGUUCGGUUCGGGCCGACUUUCGACCAGGCCAAAAGCAAUUACACCGAAAGGGGGAAUUCUUCUGCCAUCGAAUCGGAUCGCAUCUACCGUACGAUCGCUAACCAUGCAGCCGGCUGGGAAUGGAAAUGGGUAUGCGAAUGGGAAGGAAAACGGUAAUGCCAGUGCCAGUGCCAGUGCCAGUCGCUCCACGUCAUAGGUGCUCCUCAAGUGGUGGUAUAUCGCGGCCCUGCUGAUAAGUUGUAUUAAUUAUUUUUAUGGUCUUGACGUUGCUCCGUUGAUGUUGUAAAUAGUACACACAGUCGGUCGAAAGUCCAAGAAGCUUUCGAUUGGGAAAUCUUGCUUGGUUUUCCCUUUGUUUUUCAAUUUUCUUCCCGAGGAGAGAAGAGGAACAGAACUCAAUUUCCGCCUGAGGCCGACUCUUUUCCACCCGGUAAGUGCCAGGCAUGUGACUCAAUCUUGAGUAUUUUCGUACCCUUGGCGCAUGGCUGUGGUGGGGCUACGGCCAUGGCAUCACAUGUCAUUUAUAGUUUGGCCUUUGUAUGGGCCUACCGUCGUCGGCCUGUUGAUAAGCCGUAGAUUGAGCGCGUGCUUUGUGACUGGGCUGCUCGGGUCUGGUUGCUCCGGGCCUCAUUCCGCUUCUACCGAGGGGUCCACAGGUGUGUGUACACUUUCGAAAUUCCAGAAAUUCUCGCGUCAAGUAGCCGCCCCGAAAACCUUAUCACUCAGACGAUCGUCCAGCCACUGAUUCCUGUGUUACUCCACUGGAGGGCCGCGAAAGCGACGAAAGCUUGUCAAUGGAUGGCAUUGAUACGGGACAGUUGGCUGGAUUGAUUGGGUUGAUUGUGGGCCAUCGUAAAUACACCUGGCGCCCGGAAUUCAGGGAAUUGCUAAUCAGAAAGGUGCAAAGGCUUAACCAAAUGGAAUUUAAUGAAUUUGUGGUAUUUAUAGAAAGAAGGGGCAUAAAUAGAACAGCUUUAUAUUUGUAGAUAAAAUCUAGUAAAUUUAAAGAUCUCUUUAAGAAAAAAAUCUAGUUACCAGACCACAAAAUCAUAACACAAUUUUCGAGUUGCAUUCCUAUUAAGAUCUAUGUCUAGAUUUAAAUCUAAACAGAAAGUACUUCUAGCUACUGAAAUCCACGAUCAAAUCGGGUCUGAUUUAUUUCCGUUUUCGUGAUAUUUCCGAGCCAGUUGGGGAUUGUCCCAUUUGGCAUUUGAUAUGCAUGCAGCCGACCGAUACAACACUCCCCCGCUUUUGGACCCAGUAGAUCCCCCCAGCGAUCUGCGGCCAUAAAUAACCAGUAAAGCCUAUGGAAUUUCCUAUAAAUAAGUUCAUGACGAAUGUAACAAAAAUUCCCCGAGCAACCUUAGCCCCGCGCCCUUCUUUACAAACGUUUGUGUGUGUGUGUGUGUUGUAAAUGACCUCGUUCACAUAAAGUUCAGAAAUUCCAUUUACAAACUUGUAAUUGAAAAAAUCCACACACACACGAGCGAGAUUGUCUAGAGACAAAGUCAAACACGUUGGAAUUUUUGUUUUUUUUACCGUUCAAUGACGAAUUUUACAGAGUGUGUGUGUGUGUGUGUGUGCGUUGUUUACGAAAAACAAAAAACAGAACGCCACCAGCUACAAACACACGAAGAAAAACAAAAUAAAAAACGAAACGAAAAUUCCAAAAAGACACUUACGAAAGCCCCACAGCAUUUUUUAUUGUUCCGUAGAUUACAACAUAUAGGAAAACGCUAGAAGCGCUGAAGAAUUUUCGGGGGCGAGAAGAAGAGUGCGCUACACGCCGAUAUAUCGGUAUACUGAUGUGACAAAAUGCAAAAGUAGCACAGAUUCAAAUGCAGAUAGGGAUACUCUUCUCGCCGGCUUGGAAGAAGAAGGCGGCUGGAAGGGGAGCGACUGGAAGGGGCGGGCAGUGUCGGUUUGUUUGUGGAAUGCCGUUUUGUAAGUUUCUUAUGCAUGCGCCUUCAAACAUAGUUCGGCAUCGAAACUUUCUAGCACACCGACACACAUACGAACGCGAUCCAGCCGACACACACACACGCACGCAGCCACACACUUAAGCGACUUUCGAAAGGUACAACUUUUAACGAAGUCGCUGCCUCAGCCGCUGCUCAGCCGACGCCACUGCCGCUGCCGCCGCCGCUGCCUCUGUCGACUUCGAAUUCCAACGCCAAGAUGAAAGAUCGGCGCAAAAGAAAAGAAAUAUUCAUUCAGUAAAAUUUCAUAGCUGCAGCCGCAUGGUUGUGCCGCUCUCGCCUGCUCUUGCUUUUCGCGCAACAAACCGAAACGAGAAACACAUAAAUAUCAAAGUGUGAACACUAGCGUACAUAUAAAAACUUUAAAUCUAAACUUAACUUAACUUGAGCAACAUGAGCAACAAAUGAACACGGGAAAGCGGUUCCAGCGAAGAGGUUACAAGGAGAGCAGACACAACCGCAUUCCAGAAAGUUUAAAUAACGCUGGAAGAAGGGGGAAAGUGGAAAACUAAACUCGAACUCGAACUCAGUGUGCCAGUGUAUGUGUGUGGAAUGCAGAAGAGGAAGAAGCAGCAGCAGCAGAAUAAGCAGCGAAUAGAAAAUAUGUCUUCAAACUGGUUUUUCGGUUUUUAGACUGUCGUCGUCGGCCAAUCGGGUUCCAUUGACAUCCGAACGAAAAAAAUAAUGCCUAACCUUCGAUGGGAACACUCGUAAGUCGGAAUUCACACACAAUAUGCACACACACAACGCCGUUUAUUGGCUGAAAUUGGAUGCUGUGUGUAUGUGCGGUUAUUUAGAAAUUCAAAUUGAAAUUUUUCAAGCGUGAGUCAUGCGACUGAGCGUGGGUUUUUGAGACCCGUUUCAUUCUUCCCGACUCGACGAUCCUAACCUUCACUGGGAACAGGAGUUAGCCGCCAGAACGUGAAUGGGAACAGAAUCGGGAACGGGAACAGUCAUAAAAGUUGCAUCACUCAGCACAAAAAGACGAAGAGGCGGGCAGACGGAGACACAAACAAGUCAACCACCAGCAUAGAAUGCGGCUGCCAGACAGGCGAGACGGCAAUAGUAGUGGCGGCAAGAAAAGGCGCGACAAGCAGAAGAACCGUUUUACUGAGAAAAGAAGAGCGUGCACGCGGCGUCAGGGUGCGAGCGGGAUAGCAAAACAGGCAAAGGGAAAAGGGACCGAAAAACACUGAGAGAAAUAAGAGUAAGGUGAACAUGAAAAUUAAGAUCUUAACUGAACUCGUAUAUUCUUUGCAGCAAUACUUUGGUUAAACGACAGUCAAUGAACAUUUUUUUUUAACAUCGUAAGAAAAUGUACCAUCUAUGUUUACAAGGUUGAGAGUCGUUUUUCCUUACCCUCAUAAUAUCGUAAUUCGAGCGAUAUUAAACGUAAUAUUUUUUCACAGUGUCAUCGGUCAUUCUCUUCGCUCUGACUUAUCCCGUUUGUUUUGCAGUUCCUCGUUUUUUCCUCGGCAUUCCGUUGUUUCGUCCGAAAACCAAAUUCAGCAGAAAAAGAGCUCUUCAGCGGGAAUAUCGAUAUGAUAUCGAUGGGAGAGCCGAUUUUUUGGGCCCAUUAAUUUGCAUACUCGAAAGACGAAGGAGUUACAGGAAAGGGCAGCGAGCGGUGCGUUUUUAUACCACAUCAUAAAUGUCAAUUAAAAACGAUAUUUUUGUAUUGUCAAGUUGCGCCCGUCGCAUCGCCAUAAAAUGUGUUAUAAAAAAGCUAACGGUUAAUGCUACGGUCUGCUGAAGUUCAUGUGUGGAAGAGUGGAAAAAAAUGAGAAAAGAGGGAAAGAAACAAAAACUAUUCGCCGCUCAAUAGAAAGUUUGUGUUAAUAAAAAAUACCUAAAAACUUAAACACACAAAAUAUGUGUGUCGAAAUAUGUAUGGCAGCAACAAAAAAGAGUGAAUGAAAAAAUGUUGACCUAAUUUUCGGGGACCAGUUGGGGUUGUUGUUUUUGUUUUUGGUCUUGUUUAUUUCAGCAACGUCGACGGCGGCAGAGGCGGCGGCGCAUACUUUCCCACACAGCUUCCAGCUCAUUCCCAUUCCAGAUUCCAGGCCAUUCCCAGCAGCGUGUGAUCAUCGCGGGAGCAGCGCCACCGUUCCCUUCGCACGCUUUCCUCUCCUUCCCGCUGGAACGACGUCUAAAUUAAUGAUUGUUAAAUGGAGAUUGCGUAUUUUAUGUCAGUGUGUGUGUGUAUGUGCUAGGCACUCCACACACCAAUGCAGUUGGAGAAAUACGGGCGCGCCUGCGCAGAAACUAUUUAUAAAGGUAUGUAAUCCCCAAUUUGAUAACUCACAGGCAUUUUACAGUUCACGUCCCCCCACCCCAAAAAAAAAGCAAAAACUCAGCGCCACUAAUUGUGUGCUAUUUUUAUUAAAAAAAAAAAAAAAAAUAAAAAACGAAAAGAAAAGAAGGAAAGAAUGAAAGACUAAAACCUUAAGAUCAUUUUUUUUUUCUCGCGGCGCGUGUGAAAAUAUUUAGGCUAGCCAAGGUAUUUUUAUUCUCGCCUCUUGUGGAUCUUUGAGUCCCUCGUUCUUCGCUUCUUUGUGGUCUCUCUUGCUUUUUAAAGUGUUAACUGGCAGCAUAUAAUUUCGGUCGACUUGACAUACAUUAUAAUUAUAGUUAUUAAAUGUGAGCCAGGCACGUGCGUGAAAAACGCUCAGAUGCAGAUGUUGUUGAUGUUAUAAAGACCACGAUCGAAUGAGGAAAAACGGAAAACGAACGAAAAGCGUUUGUAACUCCAAUGAUUUGACUACGAAACCGGUUUUCGAUUUGGUUUGACUGUUUUUCAUACAAGUGAGAUCAUUUUGAAAGCUGAUUUUGUCAAUGAAUACCACAUUCCACAUUCCGAUGGUCGAUUUUUGUUGUUUGGUGUGCCUACACAGAUAUAGCGAUAUCGUGUAACAAAGCUUUGAACUUAUGCCGACAGAUCCAAGUCGGAUCGAGAUGGGUAUGGGGAUGGAGAUGGAGAUGGGGCUGGGAAAUCGAAGGAUAAAUGCUUCCAAUUCCAUAGAAAUGGACAGCAUGCUGCUGGAUGGAUUUUGCUCAGUGUAAGAGCCGCGCCUGCGCCGCUGCUGUAGCUACAUUGUCUCUAUUGCUCUUUUCCGACUGUCUUCCCAAGGCGAGUUGGAUGUUGGACGUGGAGAAUGAAAAUCGGAGUCAAUGAGAAGGCCUGCUUGGGUAAACAGCAUUCCAAGCAUACCAGCGGCGACCGAAUCUAAACAACUUGAUGUUGGUAUUUUAUGCUUUGUUUGCCCAUUACAAAAGCCCUUUUGAUUCGUAAACGCGGCGCUGAUAACGCUGCGGAGACGAUAAGCGAUGUAUGUGUGUAGUUAGGUGUGGGUAUAGUGCGAGUGAGUACGUAACCCGGUCGGGGCGACCCACCUGGGCAAUGAACUCCGACCGUCCGACCGUCCGACCGACCGACGGUUUUUUCAUUCAUGAAACGAUCGACAAAGUGGAUCACGUUGGACAGAGGUGGAGAGCUAUACGGCCGAAAAGUCGUGAUAAACAUAUUUACCAAUUGAUUAUUUUCCAACACAAACACGCGUUGGCUUACAUAAGUGCCAACAUAUAUCGCUUAGUAUAUAUGUAUGUGGCUUCUGGCAUAUAGCACAUGCCAAGGUGCUAAUCAGCAUGCACACACACAUCGAUUUCCACAUAGGUCCACGUACAUGCGAUGGAUUCGGAUUUGGAUUUGGAAUAGGAAUAGGAAUCGGAAUAGGCAUGGGCAAGGGCACUUGGAUUUGGGGUGACUUUCUAAAUGCCCCGUGGCAGCUGCAGCUGUUUCUUCCCCACUUCCCGAUUCACGGUUCCGAUUUCCUAGAAUUCAAUAUAAACUCGUAUGCUAUGCAAACUGGAGCGACGACUCCCUGGAAUGCCUUGUGUAACUAAAUUUAAACGCCUUAUAGGCCCGAGAUGUGCCACUUCACAUGGCGAUUUAGUGGGCAGUUAUUGUGCUAUGCCUCAUUAGGAUGGAAGAUCAAAGCCGAAAGAUAUCCGAAAACAAGUAUUUGUCGGCCCGUUUAUGUCUACUUAAAUGAUGGAGCUUAUCUAUAAGUCUCCACAUUUUUUAGUCUUAGAUAAUUUGCAUUUACUUUGUAAUCAUUACUUAAAUGUAUCAUCCCAGAACUUAUUGAAUUGUAUUGUAUUACAUGUUGGAUUGUAAGAGAUGUCGAAAAUAAACGUGCCUUCGGUGUGCAAAUUAAUCGCUAA